AGUGACAGAGUGAGGUAGGGUGUGACUAGUGACAGAGAGAGGGAUUGGUGGACUAGUGACAGAGGGAGGGGUGACUAGGGACAGAGUGAGGGAGGUGGUGACUAGUGACUAGUGACAGUCACCACCUCCCUCACUCUGUCACUAGUUACCACCUCCCUCACUCUUCCAACAGUCAUCACCUCCCUCACUCUGUCACCAGUCAUCCCCUCACUCUGUCACCAGUCAUUUCCUCACUCUGCCACUAGUCACCUAUUCCCUUAUUCUGUCACCUGUCACCCCCUCACUCUAGUGAGGGAGGG